rnacentral:misc_RNA from 1 species
UACGUAGGGGGCAAGCGUUGUCCGGAAUUAUUGGGCGUAAAGAGCUCGUAGGCGGCUUGUCGCGUCUGCUGUGAAAACUCAAGGCUUAACUUUGGGCGUGCAGUGGGUACGGGCAGGCUAGAGUGCGGUAGGGGAGACUAGAAUUCCUGGUGUAGCGGUGAAAUGCGCAGAUAUCAGGAGGAACACCGGUGGCGAAGGCGGGUCUCUGGGCCGUAACUGACGCUGAGGAGCGAAAGCAUGGGGAGCGAACAGG